rnacentral:rRNA from 1 species
GACGAACGCUGGCGGCGUGCUUAACACAUGCAAGUCGAACGAAGAGCGACGGAAGCUUGCUUCUAUCAAUCUUAGUGGCGAACGGGUGAGUAACGCGUAAUCAACCUGCCCUUCAGAGGGGGACAACAGUUGGAAACGACUGCUAAUACCGCAUACGAUCUAAUCUCGGCAUCGAGGAUAGAUGAAAGGUGGCCUCUACAUGUAAGCUAUCACUGAAGGAGGGGAUUGCGUCUGAUUAGCUAGUUGGAGGGGUAACGGCCCACCAAGGCGAUGAUCAGUAGCCGGUCUGAGAGGAUGAACGGCCACAUUGGGACUGAGACACGGCCCAGACUCCUACGGGAGGCAGCAGUGGGGAAUCUUCCGCAAUGGACGAAAGUCUGACGGAGCAACGCCGCGUGAGUGAUGACGGCCUUCGGGUUGUAAAGCUCUGUUAAUCGGGACGAAAGGCCUUCUUGCGAACAGUU